UCCCUGGUAGCUCAGUUGGUAAAGAAUCUGCCUACAAUGCAGGAGACCUGAGUUCAAUUUCUGGGUUGGGGAA
rnacentral:tRNA from 1 species